rnacentral:misc_RNA from 1 species
CUGCGUAACUUGCAGCUAGAAGUGCAAGCGCGGCAGUAAACACGUUUCACUGACCCAUAAAAAAACGCCGGAAAGUCCGGCGUUUUUUU